CCAGUGCUCAAUGGGUGGCAUGUCUGGUGAGUAUGCAUGCCAUGGAAGAACUGGGACAUUUUCAGCUUUCAGGAACUGUGUACAGAUUCUUGUGACGUGGGACCGUUCAUUAUCAUGCUGAAACAUGAGGUGAUGGUGUCGGAUGAAUGGCACGACAAUGGGCCUCAGGAUCUCGUUGUGGUGUCUCUGUGCUUUCAAAUUACCAUUGAAUUCAUCAGAUGGUGCCAGAGAGAUGGUGGAUGUUUUACUUCCUCCUAACAGAUUGUGUUUUUAUGUUAGUUUUUUUUAACGUUAUUUGUAACUACAUUUUUUACUUCUUUUGUACAUAACGCUGCUGAUACCGUCUCUUAUGACCGAAUAUAACUUCUGGACAGCGAACUGGCGUCGUGGUAAGACAAGCGGUGGCGGACUAUGCAUAUAUGUAAACAACAGCUGUUGCACGAUAUCUAAGGAAGUCUCAAGGUUUUGCUUGCCUGAGGUAGAGUAUCUCAUGAUAAGCUGUUGACCACACUAUCUACCUAGAGAGUUUGCAUCUGUAUUUUUCAUAGCUGUCUACAUACCACCACAGACCGAUGCUGGCAUUAAGACCGCACUCAAUGAGCUGUAUUCCGCCAUAAGCAACCAGGAAAACGCUCAUCCAGAGGCGGCGCUCCUAGUGACCGGGGACGUUAAUGCAGGGAAACUUAAAUCUGUUUUACGAAACUUCUAUCAGCAUGUUAAAUGUGCAACCAGAGGGAUAAAAAUUACUAGCGGCGUGACCACCUUUACUCCACACACAGAGACGCAUCUCCCUCACCCUCCAUUUGGCAAAUCUACCCUCCUAAAGCAGGAAGCACCAGUGACACGAUCAAUAAAAAAGUGGUCAGAUGAAGCAGAUGCUAAGCUAAAGGACUGUUUUGCUAGCACAGACUGGAAUAUGUUCCGGGGUGGCAUUGAGGAGUACACCACAUCUGUCAUUGGCAACCAGACGCCAUGGAUUACAGGCAACAUCCGCACUGAGCUAAAUGCUAGAGCUGCUGCUUUCAAGGAGCGGGACUGUAACCCGGAAGAUCAUAAGAAAUCCCGCUAUGCCCUCCGACGAACCACCAAACAGGCCAAGCGUUAAUACAGGACUAAGAUCGAAUUGUACUACACCGGCUCCGACGCUCGUCGGAUGUGGCAGGGCUUGCAAACCAUUACAGACUACAAAGGGAAGCACAGCCGAGGGCUGCCUAGUGACUCGAGCCUACCAGAUGAGCUAUACUACUUCUACGCUUGCUUCGAGGCACAUAACCCUGAAACAUGCAUUAGAGCACCAGCUGUUUUGGAUGACUGUGUGAUCACGCUCUCCAUAGUCAAUGACCAUGCCUCAGGACUACCUGGCCUGAUGACUCCUUGCUGUCUCCAGUCCACCUGGUCAUGCUGCUACUCCAGUUUCAACUGUUCUGCCUGCAGCUAUGGAACCCUGACCUAUUCACUGGACGUGCUACCUUGUCCCGGACCUGCUAUUUUGGACUCCCUCUCUACCGCACCUGCUGUCUCUAACUCUGAAUGAUCUGCUAUGAAAAGCCAACUGACAUUUACUUCUGAGUUGCUGACCUGUUGCACCCUCUACAACCACUGUGAUUAUUAUUAUCUGACCCUGCUGGUCAUCUAUGAACGUUUGAACAUCUUGGCCACGGUUAUAAUCUCCACCCGGCACAGCCAGAAGAGGACUGGCCACCCCUCAGAGACUGAUUCCUCUCUAGGUUUCUUCCUAGGUUUUGGCCUUUCUCGGGAGUUGUUCCUAGCCACCAUGCUUCUACAUCUGCGUUGCUUGCUGUUUGGGUUUUAGGCUGGGUUUCUGUAAAGCACUUUGUGACAUCGACUGAUGUAAAAAAACAUUUGAUUGAUUGAUUGAUCACCGGAGCCAAGCUUCCUGCCAUCGAGGACCUCUAUAACAGGCAGUGUCAGAGGAAGGCCCUAGAAAUUGUCAAAGACUCCAGCCACCCUAGUCACAAACUGUUCUCUCUGCUACCGCAUGGCAAGCGGUACCGGAGCUCCAAACCUAGGUCCAAGAGGCUUCUUAAAACAGCUUCUACCCCCAAGCUAUAAGACUCCUGAACAUCUAAUCAAAUGACUACCCAGACUUUUCGCAUUGCCCCCCCCCCCUCUUUUACGCUGCUGUUACUCCUGUUAUUAUCUAAGCAUCUACAUGUACAUAUUACCUCAAUUACCUUGACUAACCUGUACCCCUGCACAUUGACUCUGUAUUGCUAUAUAGUCUCACUAUUGUUAUUUUACUGAUGCUCUUUAAAUACUUGUUACUUUUAUUUCUUAUUCUUAUUCACAUUUUUUAUACUGCAUUGUUGGUUAAGUGCUUGAAAGUAAUCAUUUCACUGUAAGGUCUACACCUUUUGUAUUCGGCGCAUGUGACUAAUAAUGUUUGAUUUGAUAAAAUGCAAUUGUGUUAAUUUUUCUUAGCUUAUGUGUGCCCAUACCAUAACCCCACCGCCAGCAUGUGGCAAUCUGUUCACAACGUUGACAUCAGCAAACCGCUCGCCCACACGACUCCAUACACGCUGUCUGCCAUCUGCAUCUGCCCGAGCUCAUUUCUCCAGCGUGCCAGUGACCAUUGAAGAUGACACAACAGAGCAUCUGCCACACAAUGGAUGAUAGCUGUGGUCACUUGUGGAGAAUGGGGAGUAGAAAG
ensembl:lncRNA